rnacentral:rRNA from 1 species
AUCAGUUUAAUUUGAUAUUUUAAAUUUUUAUGUAUUUAAAAUAAAAAAAGAAAUUUUUGGUUUUAUUAUUCUAUAGAAAAAAUAAGUAUAAAUUAUAGUUUAUAGUAAAGUAAUUGAAAUAAAAUUAAAAUUUUAAAAGUAGAAUUUAUUUUUUGUACCUUGUGUAUCAGGGCUAAUUAAAAUAAAGUUAAAAAUUUUAAUAUUCUCGGUUUUAAAGGGGUAAAUUAUUUUUAUAUAUUAAUGUGUCAAAAUUAUUUUACAAAAAUAGUUAGUAAUGAAAUGUUAUUCGAUUUUUAAGAUAUCUAGUUUUUAAAGAAAAAAAUUUAAUUUUAUUAAAUUUAAUAUUUAAUUUUUUAUUAUAAAAGUUAAAUUUUUAUUUAAUUAUAUUAAUAGGGAUAAGCUUAUUAGUAGAUUAUUAAAAAUUUAUUUAAGGUUUUUAAGUAGUAGGAUUAAUAAUGUUCAACAUUUAAUUUAUUAUUAUUAAUUAAAAAUAAGAAAAGAUUUUUAUUAAAUUUUAAUGUUUUAUUUAAAUAUUAAAUUUAAUUUAUAAAUUUAAGAAAUUAUGAUUAGAUUAGUAUAAAUUUAUGUAUAAAGUAUUUUAUUAUUUAAGAUUCAAUAAAGGAAUUCAGCAAAUAUAUUUUUUGCCUGUUUAUUAAAAACAUGUCUUUUAGAUUAUAAUUUAAAGUCUAACCUGCCCACUGAAGUAUUAAAUGGCCGCAGUAUUUUGACUGUGCAAAGGUAGCAUAAUCAUUAGUUUUUUAAUUAAAAACUGGAAUGAAAGGUUGGACAAGAAAAUAACUGUCUCUAUGGGAAUUUUUUAGAAUUUUAUUUUUAAGUUAAAAAGCUUAAAUUUUAUUAAAAGACGAGAAGACCCUUUAGAGUUUUAUAUAAAUUUAUAAAUUAAAUUUAUUGUAUAAUAUUUAUUUAUUUUGUGUAUUUAUAUUUAAUUGGGGUGAUUAAAAAACUUAAUUAACUUUUUUUAUAUUUAAACAUUAAUUUAUGAUUUAUUGAUCCAUUUUUAUGAUUAAAAGAUUAAAUUACCUAAGGGAUAACAGCGUAAUUUUUUUUGAGAGCUCUAAUCGAUAAAAGAGUUUGCGACCUCGAUGUUGGAUUAAAAUUUUAUUUUGGUGAAGAAAUUAAAAUAAUAGGUCUGUUCGACCUUUAAAAUUUUACAUGAUCUGAGUUUAAACCGGUGUAAGCCAGGUUGGUUUCUAUCUUUAGUAAAGUUAAUAUUUUAGUACGAAAGGACCAAGUAUUAUUAAAAUUUAUUUUUAAAUGUUUAUUAUUAAUUA